AUGGAUGCGCCUAUGCAUGUCAAUUUUUCUAACGAGAUGAUUUCUGCUCUUGGGCUAGCGGAUAGGGUUGUGCUUGUUGUCGAUGCUGCUGAGGUCGGCAUGAAUUGGGAUAUGACCGCUUACACAUCCGGGACACAAGGGGCCGCCAUAGCUUGGUUUGUCUCUUUGGACUGCCACAGUGCCCAUCCGGGCGUCUUUGGAUCCUCGGCCAUGGGCCUUGCUGUCUAUGGAUCAUACGACACUGGUCAUGUUUCGCCACCUGUCUCUCAGGACAACCACCCCUAUGUUCGGUUCGGGAGGCACCGGAGGGAGCCGACAUGGUCAUCAUCAUUCCGUGAAUGA
rnacentral:rRNA from 1 species